rnacentral:rRNA from 1 species
CCUACGGGAGGCAGCAGUGAGGAAUAUUGGUCAAUGGGCGCAAGCCUGAACCAGCCAAGUCGCGUGAGGGAUGACGGUCCUAUGGAUUGUAAACCUCUUUUGUCGGGGAGCAAGGCCCGCCACGUGUGGCGGGAAGGAGAGUACCCGAAGAAAAAGCAUCGGCUAACUCCGUGCCAGCCGCCGCGGUAAUACGGAGGAUGCGAGCGUUAUCCGGAUUUAUUGGGGUAAACGGGUGCGUAGGCGGAAGGUUCAGUCCGUGGUAAAAUGUCGGUGCUCAACACCGGCCUGCCGUUGAAACUGGUCUUCUUGAGUGAGCGAGAAGUAUGCGGAAUGUGGGGUGUAGCGGUGAAAUGCAUAGAUAUCACGCAGAACUCCGAUUGCGAAGGCAGCAUACCGGCGCUCAACUGACGCUGAGGCACGAAAGCGUGGGGAUCGAACAGGAUUAGAUACCCGGGUAGUC